UACGAGGGGGGCGAGCGUUGCUCGGAAUUACUGGGCGUAAAGCGCACGUAGGCGGUCUUUUAAGUCGGGGGUGAAAUCCUGGAGCUCAACUCCAGAACUGCCUUCGAUACUGGAAGACUCGAGUCCGGGAGAGGUGAGUGGAACUGCGAGUGUAGAGGUGAAAUUCGUAGAUAUUCGCAAGAACACCAGUGGCGAAGGCGGCUCACUGGCCCGAUACUGACGCUGAGGUGCGAAAGCGUGGGGAGCAAACAGG
rnacentral:rRNA from 1 species